rnacentral:rRNA from 1 species
GGUUCGAUUAUGGCUCAGAUUGAACGCUGGCGGGAUGCUUUACAUGCAAGUCCGAACGGCAGCACGGACUUCGGUCUGGUGGCGAGUGGCGAACGGGUGAGUAAUGUAUCGGAACGUGCCUAGUAGCGGGGGAUAACUACGCGAAAGCGUAGCUAAUACCGCAUACGCCCUUCGGGGGAAAGCGGGGGACCUUCGGGCCUCGCACUAUUAGAGCGGCCGAUAUCGGAUUAGCUAGUUGGUGGGGUAACUCGCAAGGCGACGAUCCGUAGCUGGUUUGAAGGACGACCAGCCACUGGGACUGAGACACGGCCCAGACUCCUACGGGGAGGCAGCAGUGGGGAAUUUUGAACAAUGGGGAAACCCUGAUCCAGCCAUCCCGCGUGUGCGAUGAAGGCCUUCGGGUUGUAAAGCACUUUUGGCAGGAAAGAAACGGCACGGGAUAAUACCCCGUGCAACUGACAAACACCUGCACAGAAUAAGCACCGGCUAACUACGUGCCAGCAGCCGCGGUAGCCGUAGGGUGCAAGCGUUAAUCGGAAUUACUGGGCGUAAAGCGUGCGCAGGCGGUUCGGAAAGAAAGAUGUGAAAUCCCAGAGCAACUUUGGAACUGCAUUUUUAACUACCGAGCUAGAGUGUGUCAGAGGGAGGUGGAAUUCCGCGUGUAGCGGUGAAAUGCGUAGAUAUGCGGAGGAACACCGAUGGCGAAGGCAGCCUCCUGGGGAUAACACCCCGAGCGCUCAUGCACAGCACGUGGAGGCAAACAGGAUUAGAUACCCUGGUAGUCCACGCCCCUAAACGAUGUCAACUAGCUGUUGGGGCCUUCGGGCCUUGGUAGCGCAACUAACGCGUAGAAGUUGACCGCCUGGGGAGUACGGUCGCAAGAUUAAAACUCAAAGGAAUUGACGGGGACCCGCACAAGCGGUGGAUGAUGUGGAUUAAUUCGAUGCAACGCGAAAAACCUUACCUACCCUUGACAUGUCUGGAAUCCCGAAGAGAUUUGGGAGUGCUCGCAAGAGAACCGGAACACAGGUGCUGCAUGGCUGUCGUCCAGCUCGUGUCGUGAGAUGUUGGGUUAAGUCCCGCAACGAGCGCAACCCUUGUCAUUGGGUGCUACGAAAGGGCACUCUAAUGAGACUGCCGACAAACCGGAGGAAGGUGGGGAUGACGUCAAGUCCUCGCUAAGCCCUUAUGGGUAGGGCUUCACGUCAUACAAUGGUCGGGACAGAGGGUCGCCAACCCGCGAGGAGCCAAUCCCGAAACCCGAUCGUAGUCGGAUCGCAGUCUGCAACUCGACUGCGUGAAGUCGGAAUCGCUAGUAAUCGCGGAUCAGCAUGUCGCGGUGAAUACGUUCCCAGGGUCUUGUACACACCGCCCGUCACACCAUGGAGUGGGUUUUACCAGAAGUAGUUAGCCUAACCGUAAGAGGGCGAUUACCACGGUAGGAUUCAUGACUGGGGUGAAGUCGUAACAAGGUAA